UCCCUUCUUCUUCCCCCUCUCCCUCACUUUUCCUCUUCUUUUUUUUUAUCAAUUCUUUAUUCUUUUUUUUUUGUUUGUUUGUUUUGAUGACCAAUUGGAUGUUAAACAGCACCAGGCUUUCUUUCUUUCUUUUUUUUUUUAUUAACUUGAGUAUUUCUUAUUUACAUUUCGAAUGUUAUUCCCUUUCCCGGUUUCCGGGCAAACAUCCCCCUAAUCCCUCCCCCUCCCCUUCUUUAUGGGUGUUCCCCUCCCCAUCCUCCCCCCUUGCUGCCCUCCCCCCAACAAUCACGUUCACUGGGGGUUCAGUCUUAGCAGGACCAAGAGCUUCCCCUUCCACUGGUGCUCCUACUAGGCUAUUCAUUGUUACCUAUGAGGUCAGAGUCCAGGGUCAGUCCAUGUAUAGUCUUUGGAUAGUGGCUUAGUCCCUGGAAGCUCUAGUUGCUUGGCAUUGUUGUUCAUAAAGGGU
rnacentral:lncRNA from 1 species